rnacentral:rRNA from 1 species
GUGGGGAAUAUUGCACAAUGGGCGCAAGCCUGAUGCAGCCAUGCCGCGUGUAUGAAGAAGGCCUUCGGGUUGUAAAGUACUUUCAGCGAGGAGGAAGGCAUUAAGGUUAAUAACCUUAGUGAUUGACGUUACUCGCAGAAGAAGCACCGGCUAACUCCGUGCCAGCAGCCGCGGUAAUACGGAGGGUGCAAGCGUUAAUCGGAAUUACUGGGCGUAAAGCGCACGCAGGCGGUCUGUUAAGUCAGAUGUGAAAUCCCCGGGCUCAACCUGGGAACUGCAGUUGAAACUGGCAGGCUUGAGUCUUGUAGAGGGGGGUAGAAUUCCAGGUGUAGCGGUGAAAUGCGUAGAGAUCUGGAGGAAUACCGGUGGCGAAGGCGGCCCCCUGGACAAAGACUGACGCUCAGGUGCGAAAGCGUGGGGAGCAAACAGGAUUAGAAACCCGGGUAGUCC